UGGUCGCUUGGAGAUAAAUAUGGACAAUAAAAAGAAAAGUGAAAGGAAAAAGGCCAUGACAGAAAAUUUGUGGAAAAUAGAAGAUUUCCUGGGCUUUUUCCUGUCUCUUGGAUUUGAAAAUUGGAGUUGGCUGGACGUCUGGAUCGUGUGAAGAAGAAUAAAAACGAUACUUUGUAAUACGAGCGAAGUUGCUUACCGACCCAAUUGAAAUAGCCUGAUGAACCAAACAAAAACAAAAAGAGAAAAACAAGAAAUAAAACAGACUUUAGUCCAUUUUUAAUAAAUUAAAUUUUGUGUCACUAAUGGACGUGUGAAUAAUGCCACUAAUGUACACGGCAAAAUAACCUAGAGUCUGAUAAAUCGCUUGAACAUGAACUUAAAAGUCUUAAUGUUAUCUUAUAAGAUGAAUAAACUAAAAUCUUACAAGCUAAAGUAACAAGGCUUACGAACUAAUUUAAAAGAUAAAAAAACUAAAGUCUUACAAGCUAAAGUAGAAAAAGAAAACUUAAUAGUUGCAUAUUAAUUAAAAACAGGAAGAAAAAAACUAAAGACUUACAACCUAAAUAUAUAUAAACUCACGAAAAAAAGGCUAAAUACCUACAAGCUAAUGAACUAAUUAAACCUAAAUAAUAUGAACAAAAUCAAUAACUAUAUAACCACCCAGUCGGUCAUUUAACACGUCCAGUCACAAUCCAGUCAUCGUGGGAGGCGCAGAAAACCGGCAUGCUCAGACCGACAUGCCCAUGUAAAGAACCCUAUUAGGACGGGUAAAGCUGAUUACACAUAGGCUUCUCUUCUGCCAGGGAAUUUACCGCCAAUGGUAUCUCGUCCCACCUGAACGCUUACUCUCUGUCUGUCCGUCUAUGUCCGUCCAAAGAUCGUAAUGUUACAGGCCAUUUCAUACGCCAAAAAAAGGACAGCAUCUGCGGCCCAAUUGGCCGGAACAAAAAUCCCUAAUAAACUUUCCUACCUGCCCAGAUCGAGCUCUUUCUAUAGGGGAAGGGCAAGGACCGUGAAAGAGUUGGAAUUUCACUUCUUUCGUUUACUUUCCUGCCCUAGCAAUAACUCACAAUGAUGUCGAAUAACUUGCAAUUCCACAGAUUGAAAUACGGUGUUGCUAUUUAGAAACCGGCAAGCAUCAACAAUUAAGAAAAAAAAAAAUUUGACCAAAGGCUAAGAUUAUUUUUUUACACGUUUUGUUGUUGUUGUCACUUGAUAAAUGGCACUGCACUUUCAUUGAUAGUCACUUCGUUCUCACCUCCGGCUGCUUCGACGUCUCAAAUUUUUCCUCCUGUUCCAGUGGCUUACGUUAUCAUUUUUCCCAUCAUGGCGCUCUUCCCAGCCAGAAUUUCCUCUGGUGAGCCAAAUGACAACACACAACCAACUGUCCUACUGUCAUUCAGACAGGGGUCGUGGUUCAUGACUAAGCAGCUGACUACGUUCGGCAAUUGUCGGCUAGAUGGGGCUUUUAGCGACGUCAAGGCGCACGCGACAAACCCAACCAUCCAACAUCACUGUUAAAGAAUGGUUGGGAAAAAAGUGCAAUUCCUAAGAUAUUCCUGGCUUUAUAUUCGAAUAAAUCCGAGCAGCGAUCCCUAAAACCUACCUUGGUCUGCAAUCCCUAAAUAUUUGGAUCGCUACCUUGCUUAGUUAUACCAUGGAAAACCUCAUUUUUGUGCGACAUAUCGUUCAGCCAUCUUAUUUCAACAACUUGCUCCCAUGGCAAUUCGUCUAAUACAUUUCUAUUCUGGUUGUUUGACAUUGACCUUUUUAUGGAAUUUACUAGGUAAAUCUACCCUGGUUUAAUUCCUAUUUACAUCUCCCUGCCAAACACACGUAUCUAAUAGUGUAUACAACCCCUAAGAACGAUGAAUUGCUAGGAACUAUAAAUGACAGCCGUAUACGUUUCUUUAUUGAAAUAGGGUUGGUAUCCUGUAUGAGUGGCCACACCACUGUAACGCUGUUAAAAUAGAUGAAUGGCCACUGUCAUUCAUAAUUAAAAUAAUGUUGUGUGCGCGAUGUCAAAACUUGAAUAGGGCCACUAACCGUGGUAUUGUGAAUGACACAAGGUGUAUUCGAUUGGCAACACGGCAUAAACAGCUGCCGUAUAGGUGCCGUUGUUCAUGACUGAUGUCUUGGGGACAAAUAUAAACAAUGAGAAGAAAAGUGAAAGGGAAAAGGGCCAUGACAGGAAAUUUUUGGAAGAUGGACGAUUUCCUGGGCCAUUUCCUUUCUCUUGGAUUUGAACAUUCAAGCUGGUUGAACGUGGGAAUCGAGUGAAAUCUAGUGUUUUUUGUUGUUGUAAAACUAAAGCCAGGCAUAUGCCUUGUAGUACGACCAAACCAACACUUUUAAAGAAGAAGAAAGAGAUGCUAAUGCUUGUGUUUUUUUUACUGAUGGUUAAUUGUGUGCCAAACAAACAUUGAAACUUGAAUUUUUAACCGAAAUAUGAAAAAGUGAAACCUGAAAAAAAAGACUUUAAUCUUAACAGCUAAAUGAACUUACUUGCUAAAUAACCUGCAAACUAAAAUAAACUAUCCAAACAAUUACAAGCUAAAUAAACCAUAAACUUACAAGCUAGACAAAACCUCAAAAUGAUCGUAUCUUUUCGGCCACGUGCAGCCACCAUCACCGCUUCAAUCAACGUUGGAGACGCAGCAAACUGGCAUGCUCAGACCGACAUGCCCCAUGUAAAACCCUAUGCCGACAGUUGAAUUACUAUUAACUUCGGACAAACGGAUUCCAGACUUGAUUUCCUUAUUUUCCUUUUGUUUCAGCCUAUAUUUGUAAAGAAAGAGAAAUGCAAAUGUUUAUUAAGAGUGGUUAGGCAAGACAAUUGUGUAUUUAGUUGCUAUGAAAUUUACAUUUUUUAACUAUUGUAUAAAAGGUGGCCAAGGCGUCUCAGGUUGAGCUCAGCUUAGGUAGCUUUGACGUAGGUUUAAAGUGGGGGUGGUGUCCCAAUAGUGAGGCCGAUUGUGCUGUCUCUAAUGCAAGAGAAGCUAAGAAAAAAUACAUGCAUAUGCAUAUUUUUACAUAUAAAGCCACCGAGAGAAAAAUACUACAUAAAAAGAACAUAAAAACAAUAUUAAUGCAAAUAUAGGUACCAAACACAAAGAAAAAAUAAACAUACAAGACAAUUGUGUAUUUAGUUGCUAUGAAAUUUACAUUUUUUAACUAUUGUAUAAAAGGUGGCCAAGGCGUCUCAGGUUGAGCUCAGCUUAGGUAGCUUUGACGUAGGUUUAAAGUGGGGGUGGUGUCCCAAUAGUGAGGCCGAUUGUGCUGUCUCUAAUGCAAGAGAAGCUAAGAAAAAAUACAUGCAUAUGCAUAUUUUUACAUAUAAAGCCACCGAGAGAAAAAUACUACAUAAAAAGAACAUAAAAACAAUAUUAAUGCAAAUAUAGGUACCAAACACAAAGAAAAAAUAAACAUACUUACCAAUAAACAGACAGACACAUACGGACGGACAGAUCAACUGAGGGUCCAUCUACCGGUACCAAGCCGGUGCCAUCAUCAUCUGCCGAUCUGGGAGUCCAUCUCGCAUUAUUCCUGGUUCUGUUCCUACACUAGAAGAAGAAGAGAAACGCCGUUUCAUAUUAUUGUUUUUUUUUUAGUUUAUUCUGAUUUUUUUUGACGUUUUUCCGAAUGUUUGCAUUUAAUUUCCCAUUGGAUUUUCAAACUAAAUUUCUAUUCAAAUCCUGUUUUGUAUUUUAGU